UACGUAGGUGGCAAGCGUUGUCCGGAUUUACUGGGUGUAAAGGGCUCGUAGGCGGCCAACUAAGUCAGACGUGAAAUCCCCAGGCUCAACCUGGGAACUGCGUCUGAUACUGGAUGGCUUGAAUCCGGGAGAGGGAUGCAGAAUUCCAGGUGUAGCGGUGAAAUGCGUAGAUAUCAGGAGGAACACCGGUGGCGAAGGCGGGUCUCUGGGCCGUAACUGACGCUGAGGAGCGAAAGCAUGGGGAGCGAACAGG
rnacentral:rRNA from 1 species